rnacentral:pre_miRNA from 1 species
CUUCUUACUUGAUGGUAAGAGACAGAUUUUUGUUUAAUACUGUCAGGUAAGAAUAC